rnacentral:rRNA from 1 species
CGUACUGCUCAGUAACACGUCCUAAAACUACCCUGAGGUCGGGGAUAAACCCGGGAAACCGGGUAUAAUACCCGAUAGAUCUAGAAUGCUGGAAUGCUUUUAGAUCUAAAGUUCCGACGCCUCAGGAUGGGUCUGCGGCCUAUCAGGGUAGUAGUAGGUGUAACGUACCUACUAGCCUACGACGGGUACGGGUUGUGAGAGCAAGAGCCCGGAGAUGGAUUCUGAGACACGAAUCCAGGCCCUACGGGGUGCAGCAGGCGCGAAACCUUUACAAUGCUGGCAACAGCGAUAAGGGGACCUCGAGUGCCACGAUACAAUCGUGGCUGUCUAGUUGCCUAAAAAGCAAUUGAUAGCAAGGGCCGGGCAAGACCGGUGCCAGCCGCCGCGGUAACACCGGCGGCUCGAGUGGUAACCGCUAUUAUUUGGUCUAAAGGGUCUGUAGCCGGCUUAGUCAGUCUUUUGAGAAAUCUGGCCGCUCAACGGUCAGGCGUUCAGGGGAUACUGCUAAAGCUCGAGACCGGGAGAGGUGAGAGGUACUUCAGGGGUAGGGGUGAAAUCUUGUAA